rnacentral:rRNA from 1 species
CUUUAAUGGAGAGUUUGAUCCUGGCUCAGGACGAACGCUGGCGGCGUGCCUAAUACAUGCAAGUCGAGCGGGGCUAAGUAGAAGCUUGCUUCUAAACAACCUAGCGGCGGACGGGUGAGUAACACGUAGGCAACCUGCCCACAAGACAGGGAUAACUACCGGAAACGGUAGCUAAUACCCGAUACAUCCUUUUCCUGCAUGGGAGAAGGAGGAAAGACGGAGCAAUCUGUCACUUGUGGAUGGGCCUGCGGCGCAUUAGCUAGUUGGUGGGGUAAA